rnacentral:rRNA from 1 species
GAUUAUGGCUCAGAAUGAACGCUGGCGGCAUGGAUUAGGCAUGCAAGUCGAACGUACUCCCUUCGGGGAGAAAGUGGCGAAAGGGUGAGUAACACGUGAGCAACCUGCCUCCGGAUCCGGAAUAAUCCAGGGAAACUUGGUCUAAAACCGGAUGAAGACAUUGGGCCGCAUGGUCUAAUGUUAAAAUAUUUAUAGUCCGGAGAGGGGCUCGCGGCCCAUUAGCUUGUUGGCGGGGUAAUGGCCCACCAAGGCUACGACGGGUAGGUGGUCUGAGAGGAUGGUCACCCACACUGGGACUGAGACACUGCCCAGACUCCCACGGGAGGCUGCAGUCGAGAAUCUUCCGCAAUGGGCGCAAAGCCUGACGGAGCGAUGCCGCGUGAGGGAUGAAGGCCUUCGGGUUGUAAACCUCUGUCAUCCGGGACGAAAACAAUGACGGUACCGGAAAAGGAAGCCACGGCUAACCACGUGCCAGCAGCCGC